AGAGUUUGAUCCUGGCUCAGGAUGAAUUCUGGCGGCGUGCUUAACACAUGCAAGUCGAACGAAGCACUUUAUUUGAUUUCUUCGGAAUGAAGAUUUUGUGACUGAGUGGCGGACGGGUGAGUAACGCGUGGGUAACCUGCCUCAUACAGGGGGAUAACAGUUGGAAACGACUGCUAAUACCGCAUAAGCGCACAGGGUCGCAUGACCUGGUGUGAAAAACUCCGGUGGUAUGAGAUGGACCCGCGUCUGAUUAGCCAGUUGGUGGGGUAACGGCCUACCAAAGCGACGAUCAGUAGCCGACCUGAGAGGGUGACCGGCCACAUUGGGACUGAGACACGGCCCAAACUCCUACGGGAGGCAGCAGUGGGGAAUAUUGCACAAUGGGGGAAACCCUGAUGCAGCGACGCCGCGUGAGCGAAGAAGUAUUUCGGUAUGUAAAGCUCUAUCAGCAGGGAAGAAGAAAUGACGGUACCUGACUAAGAAGCACCGGCUAAAUACGUGCCAGCAGCCGCGGUAAUACGUAUGGUGCAAGCGUUAUCCGGAUUUACUGGGUGUAAAGGGAGCGCAGGCGGUACGGCAAGUCUGAUGUGAAAGCCCGGGGCUCAACCCCGGUACUGCAUUGGAAACUGUCGGACUAGAGUGUCGGAGGGGUAAGUGGAAUUCCUAGUGUAGCGGUGAAAUGCGUAGAUAUUAGGAGGAACACCAGUGGCGAAGGCGGCUUACUGGACGAUUACUGACGCUGAGGCUCGAAAGCGUGGGGAGCAAACAGGAUUAGAUACCCUGGUAGUCCACGCCGUAAACGAUG
rnacentral:rRNA from 1 species